rnacentral:rRNA from 1 species
UACCAGCACCCCGAGUGUUCGGGACGAUUAUUGGGCCUAAAGCAUCCGUAGCCGGUCCUACAAGUCUUCCGUUAAAUCCACCUGCUCAACAGAUGGGCUGCGGAAGAUACUAUAGGGCUAGGAGGCGGGAGAGGCAAGCGGUACUCAGUGGGUAGGGGUAAAAUCCGUUGAUCCAUUGAAGACCACCAGUGGCGAAGGCGGCUUGCCAGAAUGCGCUCGACGGUGAGGGAUGAAAGCUGGGGGAGCAAACCGG